CACAAUUCUUUCAGAUUAUUUAUAUACGAUAUAUUUUAUAUUUAAAAAAAAGUAACUAUAAAUAUUAUUGAAGGAACUAAGUCUUUUCUUUUAUGUGCAUAUUAUGUUAUGUAUAUAUAAUUUAUUAGGAUUAAUAUAUACGUAUUAUUUUUGUAUAUACAAAAUCCAACGCUCGAAGUAUUACCAACUUCACGCUGCUGCAGAUGCUUAACUAUAAAUGACAGCGUGUUCAUAUUUUAAUUACCAUUAGUGUGUUAAGUUGUUUAUUAGCUUACGAAAGUAUAUCGUUCUACGUCGUAAUUAAAAAUAAUUAUUUCAAAUGAAAUUUAAACGUAAUAGUGUUAUUGCCUUAUAUUUAGCCAAAAAACACAACUAGCUAUUGUUCGUGACCAACCAGCAUUUACGUGUGAAAAUAUUUGUAUAUCGAACCAUAAAGCGUUACAGUGAUGCUGAUAACAUCGCAAAAUGUCAUGAAGAAAAACAGCAACAUCAUCAGAAAUGGUUCGAAAACUGAAGCCUCGAAUUCAAAGAAAUUCACAUCAGAGCGCAAUAAAAUUGGCUAAAGAUCUGAACAUGUCCGACAGAAGUAUACGGCGGAUACUAAAAAAUGAACUUAACCUUUUUGCUACGGACGCAUUCUCUGGCGCGCUACACCUGCUGAACGAGCCGCUGCGCUAAAGUGUGCACUUGCGGAACAACAACAAUCGCCCGUCAUACGUUCAAUACCGCGGCAUCUUACGCAGAGCGAGUGUAGUCGCUCGUAGAAAGGAAAGGGUUAAAAAAUUAUCGCAUAAUGCAAUUAGAAAAUAUAAUUUAAUAAUGUAAUUUCGUAUGGAAAGUUUGAAAGCACGGAUAUACACAAAGUCCUACUUCACAUGUCUUAUAUUGUGUAAAUCACUGGGAAGUGUCUACCAGUAAGCCUAAAAGGAUUUUUAUCCGCAGAUCUAGGAGCGCUUUGUCGUAUUAAUUUAAGAUGAAAAGCAGCUACAGAAUUCCAAACGGCAAUAUCUAACAAAUGAAAAAAGUACUUCUUGUAUCGUUUUAUAAAUUUUCUGAUAGAUUUAAUGGAACUAAUAAACAUAUCACAUUUGUCGACAGCGUCCAUUGACGAAUUAUAAUCGAUUAUACAUUUGAAUUUAUGUAUAAAUUCUUGAGUGUUAUAAUUUCUCUUUCCUGUACAUAUAAAUUCGCUAGUAUGGAAAGAAAACAUCCUUUUUAUCACGCCAUUUAAGGACCAGCAAAUUACUCGAUGUCCGAAAAUCAAUUUUAAUUCUCUGUCUAUUAUAGGCAUUCCUUUUCGCCUUUGCUUUACAGCCCCACAAGGAUUUGUUAGAUUUGUACGUAAUAAAUUAAAAAAAGUAGGACUGCUAUAAUAAUUAUCGACAUACAAUGAAUUAUUUUUUCCCAAGUAAGGUUUCAAAAGUGUCAAAAUGAUAUUUCCUGUUUUGCCAAUUUCUUCCGUGUUCUCUGUUACAUGUGAAUCACUACCUGUAUAUACGAUUGUAUAUACGUAGUCUGUUUUACAGCCGCAUAAUACGUACGUUUUAAUGCCAAAUCGGCUUCUUUUGGCCGGUAUAUUAAAAGAUAGUCUGCCCUUAUACAAUAAAAGACUUUCAUCUAUGCAUAAAUUUUAAAAAGGAUGAAAUGAGUUUUUAAACGAUUUUUGAAGUCUGCUUGAAACGCUGCUAAUUUUUUGCACACGAUCAGAAGACCUUUGAUUAUUAUCAACAAAAUGCAACAUUUUCAAUAAAACUAAAUAUCUAUCUCUGCACAUAAUUUUGCUAAAAAUAUCAGUUUUUGAAAGUUUAUCUCUAGACCAAUACUCGCUAAGCCGUAAUUUUUUGUUUCUCGACAUUAGUAGCGUACAUGCGAGAAAACAGUACAGCUCGUCGACAGCUUCGUUGACAAAUUUUGAUGUUACGCAUAUCAUCAUUUACUGUACGUGUCCAAUAGUUAUUUGUCUUAUCCACAAUAAAAUCCACAAAAUCAGGUGAAAAAAAUAAUUGAAAAUAAUCUAAUAUUGCAGAGGAGAAAUUUCUCUUCUGUCUGAAGUCCAGAAUUGGAAGUAUUAAAGUUGUGAAAUGUUAAUUCAACAUUCUCCAUAGCCCAUUGGAUAUUAUUAAAAGUAGUUGAUGGCAAAGCAUCUUCGAUGUAAUAAUUUUCUGAUUCUGACGUGCUAAGUACAUUUUUCCGACGAAUGCUGAUUGCUUUCUUUCUAGUAUAAAUAUUAUUUAUUGCAGUAUAGCUAUCGGAAUCCGAUAAUUUAUCGUACAUUUCAUUACUCUCGUUUUCGAUGGAGUAGCAGUUUCCUCUCCUCCUUUUGUAAUUCGUAUUCAUUAACUUUGAGGUGUGAAAAAUAAACGAAAAAUAUAAAAUGCAAUGAUGUGAAAAAUAUAAAAAAAAUUAAACCACAUACCGUGCAAAUAUUUCGAAAGUGUGAGCGAGCCUAAACAAGCGUGCUGCCGAAAUAUUAUUUUUAUACUGUUGUUCAUUUUGUCAGUCUGAAAUUUUAUAGCGUAAAACAAGUGCAAAAUGCUUGCGAUGGAUAACCAUGGAGAUAAUAUAUAUACUCUGCUCACGAAAGUUCACGGGUAACUUAAGUCACCGUUCGUACAUAGAGAGCGUCAGGCGUUGGGUGACUUAAGUCACCAUUAGUAGCGAAAGGAUUAAGAUGAAUCCUUACAAGAUAUAAAAAGUACAGGAUUUAACCCCAGUACAAAAGGCUGUUCGUUUUCAAUGAUUAAAAGCAUUGAAAACCUUGUACGCAAGCACCGACCUCGUAAAUUUGGUUUUCCUGAUGAAAAAAUUUUUAUAAAAGAAAAAAUUCAACAAUACAUUAACAAACAAUAUAACCGUGUGUAGUUAAAGGGCCAAUCAAGCGACAAUUUAAACAGUAAAUUGCUGAGGAAACAAGUGCCUAGUUCUGUGAUGAUGUGGGCUACUGUUACAGCAAUUGUACCAACGAAAGAUGUUAAAUGAUGCAUUGAUUCCUUGGAUACAUAAACAAUUCGAUGCAAACCGCUGGACAUUCCUAUAGAACUCGACACUUCUAGAAAGCUUGUUCGAUACAACAAUUUUUAAAAAAUCACAUUCCACAUUUCAUUUCUUUGCAGCAGUGACUUCCAUACUCGCCAGACUUAUAUCCGAUAGACUUCUCCAUAUGGUCCAAUUUGGAGGCUACAACAGAAUAUGAAAGUGUGGAAACAUAGAAAUCAGCGUUUCGUCGGAAAUGAAAAUGAAUUCCAUAGAAUCUCAUUCGUGCAGCGUGCAAUGAUUUUAUUGGAAGAUUUGAUGCUAUCAUCCGCGUCAGAAGUAACCAUAUCGAACAGUGACAUCACUUUCAUGAAAUCUAAUGUGUUUUCUACAUUGUUUUAAAAUAUUAAAUAAAAAGAUUCAUAAUUGACAAAA